rnacentral:rRNA from 1 species
UAAGCGGAGGAAAAGAAACUAACAAAGAUNCCCCUAGUAACUGCGAGUGAAGCGGGAAAAGCUCAAAUUUAAAAUCUGGUGGUCUUUGNNCAUUCGAGUUGUAAUUUAGAGAAGCGUCUUCCGCGCUGGACCGUGCACAAGUCUCCUGGAAUGGAGCGUCAUAGAGGGUGAGAAUCCCGUCUUUGGCACGGACACACCAGGGCUUUUGUGAUGCGCUCUCGAAGAGUCGAGUUGUUUGGGAAUGCAGCUCAAAAUGGGUGGUGAACUCCAUCUAAAGCUAAAUAUUGGCGAGAGACCGAUAGCGAACAAGUACCGUGAGGGAAAGAUGAAAAGCACUUUGGAAAGAGAGUGAAACAGUACGUGAAAUUGUUGAAAGGGAAACGCUUGAAGUCAGUCACGUCGACCGAGACUCAGCCUUGCCUUGGCUUGGUGUACUUCUCGGCUGACGGGUCAGCAUCAAUUUUGCCCCUUGGAUAAUGGCGAGGGAAAUGUGACACCUUUACGGUGUGUUAUAGUCUCUCGUCGCAUGCAAGGGUUGGGAUUGAGGAACUCAGCACGCGCCUUUGGGUGUCGGGGCUUUGCCCACGAUACGUGCUUAGGAUGUUGGCAUAAUGGCUUUAAACGACC